rnacentral:misc_RNA from 1 species
AAGUCGUAACAAGGUUUCCGUAGGUGAACCUGCGGAAGGAUCAUUACCGAUUUUUAGCGGACCUGAUCUUUGGUCAUGGUCUCGCGAAAACUUGUAUUUAAAACCCCACUCUUAUAAAUUGAAUCAUUUUAUUAUAUGUAUUGAUAAAUAAAGAUCACUUUCAACAACGGAUCUCUUGGCUCUC